ACGGAGGGUGCAAGCGUUGUCCGGAAUCAUUGGGCGUAAAGAGUUCGUAGGUGGUAUGUUAAGUCUGGUGUUAAAUCCCGAAGCUCAACUUCGGUCCGGCACUGGAUACUGGCAAACUUGAAUGCGGUAGAGGUAAAGGGAAUUCCUGGUGUAGCGGUGGAAUGCGUAGAUAUCAGGAGGAACAGCGGUGGCGUAAGCGCUUUACUGGGCCGUAAUUGACACUGAGGAACGAAAGCCGGUGUAGCAAAUGG
rnacentral:rRNA from 1 species